rnacentral:rRNA from 1 species
UACGUAGGGUGCAAGCGUUGUCCGGAAUUAUUGGGCGUAAAGAGCUUGUAGGCGGUUUGUCGCGUCUGCUGUGAAAUUUCGGGGCUCAACCCCGAACUUGCAGUGGGUACGGGCAGACUAGAGUGUGGUAGGGGAGACUGGAAUUCCUGGUGUAGCGGUGAAAUGCGCAGAUAUCGGGAGGAACACCAGCGGCGAAGGCGGCACUCUGGGCUGGAACUGACGCUGAGGAGCGAAAGCGUGGGUAGCAAACAGG